AUACGAAGGGGGCUAGCGUUGUUCGGAUUUACUGGGCGUAAAGCGCGUGUAGGCGGAUUUGUAAGUUGGGGGUGAAAUCCCGAGGCUCAACCUCGGAACUGCCUCCAAAACUACAAGUCUGGACUCAAGUAGAGGCAAGUGGAAUUGCGAGUGUAGAGGUGAAAUUCGUAGAUAUUCGCAGGAACACCGAUAGCGAAGGCAGCCUGCUGGGCAGAUACCGACGCUGAGGCACGAAAGUGUGGGGAUC
rnacentral:rRNA from 1 species